GGAGAACGUGAUGAUGAGAUGAUGAUGAUUCGGCUGAGAUCUGAGGGGUCAAUAGAAACCUAAAUGACUUAGUUCAGGUUGUUACUUUGCAGAUGUGCGAUCAGCUUCCCAUUUGGCCACGUAAAUCAGAGGCUCUCAGACUUGAGUGUGCUGAAUCACAUGGGGCUUGGCUCGUAGACCCGCGCUGGGCCUUGACCACGGAGUCCGGUCUCGGGAGGAGGAGGCUCAUCUUCCUCCGCCCCCUCCCAACACAAUGGUGUACUGCAGAUGCAUUUUGCAGAUGUAAGCCUGAACCUCAAUGUCAGGCAAGCCAGAAGUGCACUCCAGAGAGCAGGGCGAGCAGUCGGCCAGAAACACAGUGUGCGGAUGGGCUGAGAGCAGGUGGGUCCAGAGAGGGCCCCAGGGCCAUGUUUGCGCCCCCUUCCUGCAUGGCCUGAUCUCCGAGAGUCAUAUUCACUUCUCUAAUGAACGUGUCUUUAACUGGCGAGGCAGCGCUGAGCAGCCAUGAAGAACAUGACCGUGCAGAGCCAGGUCAAGAUGCAAAUCAACUGCCUCCAGUCCCGGCACCAAGGGGCAAGGAAGCACCGAGGAACCUAAGGAUGGUUCUCUUGGGUUUGUUUAUUCCUCGGUCUCUCCUGAUUCUGGCCUGAAAGAGCUAAGCCACAGUCAGAUGAUCAAAGCAACUGGUGCAAGACAAUUGCUUUGAUUUGCUGUUUGCUUCAGAUCUGGAUUACCAGCUGUAGCCUUUCUAAUCAAGCCUCUCUGAACACAGGAUUUAAACAUUGACAGAUUCCCAGAAAUUCCCUUGGUCUCAGGGGAGGCAGGCCCGAGUCUUAUUCCGGAGGUGGGCAUAUAAGCCAGUUCUGGCUACGGAACAUCGAGAAAGGUUUACUUCCUGAUAAGAGGAAGGUAUGCAAGCAGAAACCUCUCAACCCCAUGCUCCCCUCUCUUCCUUCCCUGGAGAUGGGCUAGUGACCUGGAUCUGCUGUAGAGCAAUGGGAGGAAGAAGAGGGGUCCCUCCUGGAACUCAGACUUCCUAUAGCCUCAGCACCAAUGCUAGAAACACCACCAGAUGUUUUACUGUAGAAAAAGGACUCCUUUCUUCUUUAUGCCACUGUUGACUGGACGUCACUUGAAGCUGAAAGUAUUUUUAUUGGAUAUACCUACACUUCCCAGGCUCAAUCCUGCUCAUUAAAGAGCUCUGUCCCUGACCCUGUGCACCUGGAGCUUCUUGAAUUAUUAUUGUUAUUUUUUUAAAGAUUUAUUUAUUUAUUUAUGAUAGAGAGGCAGAGACACAGGAGGAGGGAGAAGCAGGCUCCAUGCCGGGAGCCCGACGUGGGACUCGAUCCCUGGACUCCAGGAUCACGCCCUGGGCCAAAGGCAGGCACUAAACCGCUGAGCCACCCAGGGAUCCCCAGCUUCUUGAAUUAGAGCAUAAUGGCUGAAAGCACCGGUUCUGAAGCCGGACUGCCCAGGUCCAUCACCCAGCUCUACUGCCUACUAGUUGGUAGCCUUGGACAAGUUAUUUAUCCUCUCUGUGCCUCAGUUUCCUCAUCUAAUAAAUGGGGAUAAGGAAUUAUUGACUUUAUCUAAUUAUCACAGGCAGUAAAUGAGUUAAUAUAUGUAUUUCGUACCUGGCUCCUCAUAAUCAUUUAAUAUUUGCUGUUAUUAACACAAGUUUCAUCAUACUCAAUCACAAUAGCCUAAUAAUCCUCUUCCCUGAUAGGUUGUAAAGUUAAUGAAGGCAGGGGGUGCAUCUGUCUUGUUUAUUAUAUUCUCAGGGUUACUUUACUGCCCAAUAAAUAUUUACUGAAUAAGUAAACAUAGACCAUGUAAACAGUAUACAGAAGGUAAACCAAGCCAGACAUUAACCCAAACGGAAAGGCUUUGUUCACCUGAAGUCAGUGAAAGGAGUUAUAAAUUCACAGCUUUGUGAGUUCUAGAAGGCUACUGCAGGAAAAAUUUCCCAUCGUUGCUUCAAAAGACAAAACACCCAUGUGCUCAUCAGACCUCCAGUGAGCAAGUUUCAUUCCAUCAAGAAAAAAAAAACACUAGAUCAGCCAAAAGGUCAGCUCAACAGCCAGUGGUGAGCCAGUUGCCUGUAAGCAAUUGCCUUGUCCUUGUCCACAUUUGGCCUUCUGAAGACGGAGACUGUACCAAAGAUAGGCUGUGGGAAAUAACAAUAAAUCAAGGCACAACAAUUCCAGAUAAUUGUUCCUCCAGUAUCUUUCUUGGUUUGUUUUGAUUUAUCAGGCUUUUCCUUGUCAUUCAUACCAGAAGCAGAGGAACUCCCACUGUCUGCACUGUCUGGGCUUUCGACUCAUCCUUACCCCUCACUUGAGCUGGAAUGUCAUGACACAAUUGUCCUUUACUGUGUGUGUGUGUGUGUGUGUGUGUGUGUGUGUGUGUGUGAAAAUAGGGAAGAAAAGUCUAGCAUGAGCAUCGUUGCAAUACAAGUACUCACUAUUUUCUGGUUAGUAUGGAGUUUUUUCCCCUCAUGUCUGCUGACAGGUAAGACAGGGGAAAAUACUCCCUGGGCCUUCAGAAAGCUUUCACCAUUGAUCCUCAUGAUAAUUGACUUUCUUAUCUCUUUCUUUUCCUUUCACUUUGAGCAAUUAUGGCAUCUUCCUUUGCAAAAGCUCAGUAAUUGGAAAACUGGUUUAUGAAUCUGGUAACCUUUUCCUCCCUAAAGGUUUUUCUCCCCAUCACACAGAAAGCUAAGGGAAAGAGAAGAGAAAGGAAAAAAUGUAUGUAUUUUGUGAGCUGUAGAAGGAUGAAAAUUAAAUUUAUUUAAUAUUCCCCUUGUUAC